ensembl:snoRNA small nucleolar RNA SNORA3/SNORA45 family
AGCGAGACUAGAGUCACAUCCUGACAGCCAAACAUUGUCCUGGUGUGCUAGAGUUCUCGCAGAGCAAACUUCUCUGCUUAUUCAUUGGCUGUAGCGUGAUUUUGCCCAGCUGAUCACCAGCUCGGAUACACUA